GAUGAACGCUGGCGGCGUGCCUAAUACAUGCAAGUCGAGCGAACGGACGAGAAGCUUGCUUCUCUGAUGUUAGCGGCGGACGGGUGAGUAACACGUGGAUAACCUACCUAUAAGACUGGGAUAAAUUCGGGAAAACGGAGCUAAUACCGGCUAAUAUUUUGAACCGCAUGGUUCAAAAGUGAAAGACGGUCUUGCUGUCACUUAUAGCUGGAUCCGCGCUGCAUUAGCUAGUUGGUAAGGUAACGGCUUACCAAGGCAACGAUGCAUAGCCGACCUGAGAGGGUGAUCGGCCACACUGGAACUGAGACACGGUCCAGACUCCUACGGGAGGCAGCAGUAGGGAAUCUUCCGCAAUGGGCGAAAGCCUGACGGAGCAACGCCGCGUGAGUGAUGAAGGUCUUCGGAUCGUAAAACUCUGUUAUUAGGGAAGAACAUAUGUGUAAGUAACUGUGCACAUCUUGACGGUACCUAAUCAGAAAGCCACGGCUAACUACGUG
rnacentral:rRNA from 1 species